rnacentral:rRNA from 1 species
CACCGACAGCUCUAGUGGUAGCAGUUUUUAUUGGGCCUAAAGCGUCCGUAGCCGGUUUAAUAAGUCUCUGGUGAAAUCCUGUAGCUUAACUGUGGGAAUUGCUGGAGAUACUAUUAGGCUUGAGACCGGGAGAGGUUAGAGGUACUCCCAGGGUAGAGGUGAAAUUCUGUAAUCCUGGGAGGACCGCCUGUUGCGAAGGCGUCUAACUGGAACGGUUCUGACGGUGAGGGACGAAAGUUAGGGGCGCGAACCGGAUUAGAUACCCGGGUAGUCCUAACUGUAAACGAUGCGGACUUGGUGUUGGGGUGGCUUUGAGCUGCUCCAGUGCCGAAGGGAAGCUGUUAAGUCCGCCGCCUGGGAAGUACGGUCGCAAGACUGAAACUUAA